AACGAACGCUAGCGGCAGGCCUAACACGUGCAAGUCGAACGGACAUCGAAGUUGGUUCGCCAAUGGAGAUGUUAGUGGCAGACGGGUGAGGAAUACAUAGGAAUCUACCUAGUAGUAUGGAAUAGUCACUGGAAAAGGUGAGUAAUACCACAUACGCCCUGCGGGGGAAAGAUUUAUCGCUAUUAGAUGAGCCUAUGCUGGAUUAGCUAGUUGGUGGGGUAAAUGCCUACCAAGGCGACGAUCCAUAGCUGGCCUGAGAGGGUGACCAGCCACACUGGAACUGAGAUACGGUCCAGACUCCUACGGGAGGCAGCAGUGGGGAAUAUUGGGCAAUGGGCGCAAGCCUGACCCAGCCAUGCCGCAUGAGUGAAGAAGGCCUUCGGGUUGUAAAGCUCUUUCAGCGGGGAAGAUUAUGACGGUACCCGCAGAAGAAGUCCUGGCUAACUCCGUGCCAGCCGCCGCCGUAA
rnacentral:rRNA from 1 species